rnacentral:lncRNA from 1 species
GGUUCUUGUAAUUAGCAACAGACUUGGAAAACUCUGCCCCAGCAUUUCUUAAUGAGAAGGUCUGCUAUGACCUGAUAAAGAAACGUUCAGAAGAAAAGAUAAGGCUGUGUACACUGAAAAAAUAACAUAGUUAAUGUAACAUCAUGUUGUCUUGAGAAGCAAAUGUUUAGCCAAAUGCACGUUACCCUUGUUAAUUUGCUUGGAUUUGGUGCUACUCGAGGCAGUCUUACAGAAAGACUGUAAAAGUUGUGCGGUUAUAUUUGUGGUUAAUAUUUUGGUGAUACAGCAAACUUCUGAAUAAAAGUUAAACUGACCACAAUUAUGAAAAUGGAUUUUUUGUUUGCACCCGUGCUCUCAGAGCUAACCUAGCUAAGAAGGCUACUCUAGAAUCAGAACUCAGUUGGAUUGCAGACCUUAAUAUGGCAGUUGGCCGCAUGAAGGUACAAAACAAAGAAAUGACGAUAUGUAAGACCAUACUUACAUUCAUCCUGCUGCUUACAGGCUAUCGUGUUAAAAAUAUGCAUGUUGCUGCAGUGGAGUCAGAAAGCGAAUCAACACCAUCUGAUUUUUUUGUCAAACAAACUUCUGGAGAACCAACAAGAAGUAGCUACUUUCCAGAUUCAGACUCAGAAAGUUACGACUCAACUCAAGCAGAAAGUAGUACAUCUCUAUUAGUGGCAGGACUCAGCAUUUUCUUUGUGCUGUUUGUUAUUUGUGUAAUUAUUGGUGUUUGGAAUGCACGGAAAUUGUCAAAGCAAGGUUCAUUUGACAUUACUUCUGCCCCAUCUGGUGAAGCUUAGAUGACCUUAAGAACAUCAUGACGUGAGAACCAACGAGAAAAGAAGAAAUGAAAGUCUUAUUAGUUGGUAGCUGUUUAGAGGGCCCUUCCACAAGAGCGGAAUAUUAAAAAUAAAUGAAUUACUGAAACUGAAGAGAUCUUAGUU